rnacentral:tRNA from 1 species
GUAGUGAUGGAAGAGACAGGGUUCUAAUUAGUCUCCUUCUAAGCAGUAGGUUCCGAGUUCGAGUCUCGGCAGGGACGCCA